UGCACGCUUGACUGCGUUUCGUUAAUCUCAUUUGGUAACUGUGAGGUUUGUUUAUUCCUCAGACUACUGAAUGGGAUCGACAAAAUGUGGUUUUGUUUUCA